rnacentral:rRNA from 1 species
UACGAAGGGGGCUAGCGUUGCUCGGAAUCACUGGGCGUAAAGCGCACGUAGGCGGAUUGCUAAGUCAGGGGUGAAAUCCUGGAGCUCAACUCCAGAACUGCCUUUGAUACUGGCGGUCUCGAGUCCGGGAGAGGUGAGUGGAACUGCGAGUGUAGAGGUGAAAUUCGUAGAUAUUCGCAAGAACACCAGUGGCGAAGGCGGCUCACUGGCCCGGUACUGACGCUGAGGUGCGAAAGCGUGGGGAGCAAAGCAGGG